UGCUGAAGCUGCUAUAGGCAAGCUGUUGACUGUGCCACAGUCUUCUCUAAACACUGGCUACAGGAGAUCUUGUUUCCAGCUCACUCCCAUGGCUGUUGGCGGGAUUUUGACCCUCACAGGCUGAGGGCCUGAGUUUCUCACACACUUGUCACCAGCAGCCUUUCCUCUCUUUCUUGCAACAUAGGGUGGCUGACAACACGGUAACCAACUUCCAUCUGAGGGAGCAGAUGAGACAGAAGGCAAGAGGAAGCACCCAAGAUGGACGCCAUAUUCUUUUACUAUGGAAUCCAUCACUUCUGCUGAUUUUUGUUCAUUAGAGACAAGCCAGGAAGUCCAACCUACCUGGAGAAGAAGGGAUUACAGAAUGGUGUGAACACCAGGAUGGGGGCUCACAGGGGCCACUGUGGAGACUGUCUUUCACCCCUCUUCUCUUUCAUGCCCCUCUCACCCAGAAGUAACCACCAUUAAUUCUUUCAGAGGGUUCAAAAAGAAAGAAUUGGAUUUAAAUCAAUUUUCCAAGAUUAAACUGGAAGUGCUCCAAUGGUUUCUGCUAAGAUUUAAAUGUCAACCACUUUUCAGUGCCGUAAAUGUCAUCAUCCCCUCUGCCAAGUGGACCAGAUGAGCACUGAAACUCACAGCUUGCCUUCAAGUAAAAAAGAGCUGAUAGAGAAUCCAGGUGGCUGCUCUGUAACACUGGGGUGCUGUGGGCCUAGGGUACAAAUAACAGUGAUCGAUGCCUGCUGCCUGGGUGCCACACCUGGCCUCAUUUGCCUCAGCUUACCUUUGGCUGGAAGAUUGAUUCUGUGGCCCUCCUGAUUGAAGCAGGACAUGUGCCAGGCCUCACUCCCGUUGUGGUACCCAGACUCUGCCCACCAGCUGUGCUUCACCUGCCUGCGGAGGGCUGUUCCUGCUUGCCUAGUGAUGUGGACCAGCUCUGGUUUGGCCAACUCUACAGCUUCUCCACCAGGUAGACAUUACUGUACUAGCUGAUUCCUGAAUGAAGAUGAAAUGGAAUAGAACCACAGCCAACUCACAAUACACAUGUUGUGAGUGAAAAAUAUUUAUCAUUGUAAGUCACUAAGGGUUGGGAUGUUACUGCAGCAUAGCUUAGCUGAUACUGACAUAAUUAUUAUAAAUCCAAAGCUAGGAAUAAAUUGUAGGUGUGUCUAGACACUCUGUGGGAAUUAGGACUGCUCAGAGCAGCAGGUAAGAAGGGGAUGGAAAGCAUACUGAGGCAAGCCAGGCAUGAACACAAUACUAUAAUCUCUGCCUAAGACAGAUAUUCAAGUGAGGAUAUACCCA
rnacentral:lncRNA from 1 species